rnacentral:tRNA from 1 species
GGGCAGGUACCAAAGUGGCCAACUGGGGCAGACUGUAAAUCUGCUGGCUUUGCCUUCCUAGGUUCGAAUCCUAGCCUGCCCACCA